CGCUGAUUGGCUACGUCAGCUUUCUUGGCGACGACUAUCCGGCAGAGAUGGUAAAAGGCUCAUCUUGCAUAGAGCGAUCUGAUUGGCUCACGUGACCGGGCGCCCUCUUUGUUGGGGGCAAGAAGACUCCCGGUCGGUGACGUCCUGCGCUCCUUUAGAUAAAGUGGUGUUGUGGUGCCUCCCAGCGCUUGGAAGUUUAAGUGUUCCUGGAGGGUAUUUUUACAGGAGGUCGGCACUGAAUUCCAGACACUCUCCCGGACUGUCAUCCACUCCUUUCUACGAAGCCAGGCGGAAGGUCCACUGUGCACCCAAAGCCGUGCCAAGAAGUAGAAAACAAUACUGGUCUAAGCCCUCAAGUUUUCGUCCAACGAGGGAUCAAGAAACUAUUACUGGAAUUAGCACAGCGAACUUUUAACAUUUCUUAUGAAGCAGAAAUUGGCAACAAAUUCCAUAAACUUUUGUCUAUUACAAAAGUCUAUUUCUCCUUCACUUUUGAAGAAAAUUUCCAUGGACACAGAACUAUAUGUUGGUGGGUGUUCUCUCUCAACAUUCGAAAUAUUUCACUCCUUUCUUCCUGCUUGCAUGGCUUCUAAAGGUCUGAUAUAUUUCUUAUCCUAGUUCCUCUACAGAUAAGAUUUUCUUUCUUUCUGGCUUCUUUCAAGAUUUUCUCUUUGCCUUUGAUUUUCUAUAAUUUGAAUAUGGUAUACCUAGGUGAAGAUUUUUUUCUGGCAUUUAACCUGCUUGAUGAUCUCCGAUCUUCAUGAUCUGUAAUUUUGUGUCUGUCAUUAAUUCUUCAAAAUUCUCAGCCAUAAUUACUUCACCCAGCUUCUUUCUUUUCAUUCUGAUAUUCUCAUUGCACAUAUAUUACAUUUAAAAUUUUUCCCCCACAAUUCUCAGAUAUUCUGUUGUUUUGCAUUCUUUUUUCUCUUUGCAUUUCAGUUUUGAAAGUUUCUGUUGACAUUGCUUCAAGUACACAGGUUUUUUUUUCCUCAGCCAUGUUCAGUCUAUUGAUGAGCCCAUCAAAGGAAUUCUUCACUUCUGUUACAGUUUCUUUGAUUUCUAGUA